GUGCCAGCCGCCGCGGUAAUACCGGCAGCCCAAGUGAUGGCCGCUGUUAUUGGGCCUAAAGCGUCCGUAGCUGGCCGCACAAGUCCGUCGGGAAAUCCGCCCGCUCAACGGGCGGCCGUCCGGCGGAACCUGUGUGGCUUGGGACCGGGAGGCCUGAGGGGUACGUCCGGGGUAGGAGUGAAAUCCCAUAAUCCCGCACGGACCACCGAUGGCGAAAGCACUUCGAGAAAACGGAUCCGACGGUGAGGGACGAAAGCCAGGGUCUCCAACCGGAUUAGAUACCCCAGUAGUCC
rnacentral:rRNA from 1 species